AUCAUUCAUUCACGCAAACACCUUAGAAAAAUAGAGAGCAGCCAAGCAGCUUCUUUUCCCUUACGAGUUCCCUUCCUUUUGCCCUAGCCUUGACGUUGUAUCAAGCGCGGCAGCCUUGGAGAGUAGAAGCCUUGAAGCCGUAGCACCUCUUUUUCAUCAUCAAGCUUCUUGAAGAUUGAAAAAAGAGCACCUUUAGUCCCCGGAUUGAUCAAACCCUAUUUGCCAAUACUACAUUCUGAUAAAAAAGGGUUCUAAUUGUCACACCCAGUUUUCGGUGUCCGUCAAUUGACAAAAGAAGGCUCAAGUAGUACAAAAAUGCAGAAAGCCCAAAAGAAUGCCCAAGUAGUCCAAGGAUGGAAGAGAAGGCCCAAGCAACCCAACAAAGGGAGGAGAAAAGUCAAACUUGUGGAGCUACUCCCACAUCAUUUUUUAGGAAAAGCUCCACCAAGAUUUCCUCUAUAUAAAGACAGCCUUGGGUAAUUCUUAGAGCAUCAUUCAUUCACUCAAAAGUCAGGGAAACACAUAGCUCUGCUGAGCAGCCUCUCCCUCUCUUUUGCUGAGUUUCUUUCUUGCCAAAGCCUUGUUGGACGUUUCCACAAGGAGCAGCAACUUUGGA